rnacentral:lncRNA from 1 species
UAUGCUGCGUAAGCCACGUUAUUCUUGGUGGUUUUUUCUCCCUUGUCACAAACAUUGGAAUGAUUUCUUCAUAAAGUAUCUCCUAUAUGUACGCAAGCUAUGAGGAUCUGAAACCACCUAGCUCCCCAUGUCCAACACCGCCAAUCAGUUCCAAACCAUCUGAGCCUGCACUGCCAGUUGAACCAGCAGGGGGAAAUGAUGUACCAAAGGUUGUCGCUAGUAACAUCGAUGUCGGACAAAGCGUAGAGGAAAAAGUUGUUAACUCGUACCGAUCACCAUACUAUGUGUGAGCGUUCUCAUGACUACGAACAAGAACAGAACAUUUUAAAAUGCAGCUACUGAUUUCUUUAUGGGGUUUCAGAUAUGAUGAAUUCAAGCCACCGGCAUCACCAUCUCCGACUCCGCCAUCUACCAUGAAAGGAGGAGCAACUCAGGAGA